CUGAAAAAAAUGUAAUGGAUCUAAAUAUGCAAUGAAGAGUCACAGAGACAUGAACAAAUGUCCACUCACCUCAGAGAGAGAACUAAUGACAGACCAAUGUAAUGAUACCAUCAAAGUCCAACUUGGAAAACCAGUGAGUUCAUGGCAGUUGCUUACAGGAAUGUAGGGCAAUAUGAGCAAAGUCCUUUUCACCCUAGAAAGGGCAUUGACAACAGACCAAUAAAACAAUUCAAC